rnacentral:rRNA from 1 species
GUGCCAGCCGCCGCGGUAAUACCGGCAGCCCGAGUGAUGGCCGAUCCUAUUGGGCCUAAAGCGUCCGUAGCUGGCUGCGCAAGUCCGUCGGGAAAUCUACUCGCCCAACGAGUGGGCGUCCGACGGAAACUGCACAGCUUGGGACCGGAAGGCUCGAAGGGUACGUUCGGGGUAGGAGUGAAAUCCCAUAAUCCCGGACGGACUACCGAUGGCGAAAGCACUCUGAGAAGACGGCUUCGACAGUGAGGGACGAAAGCCAGAGUCUCGAACCGGAUUAGAUACCCGUGUAGUCC